rnacentral:rRNA from 1 species
UAAUACGUAGGGGGCAAGCGUUGUUCGGAAUUACUGGGCGUAAAGGGCGCGUAGGCGGCACGGCAAGUCAGGAGUGAAAGCCCGGGGCUCAACCCCGGAACGUCUUUUGAAACUGCCGAGCUAGAGUGCGGAAGAGGCAACUGGAAUUCCCAGUGUAGCGGUGAAAUGCGUAGAUAUUGGGAAGAACACCUGAGGCGAAGGCGGGUUGCUGGGCCGACACUGACGCUGAGGCGCGAAAGCCAGGGGAGCGAACGG